GAUGAACGCUGGCGGCGUGCCUAAUACAUGCAAGUCGAGCGAACAGACGAGGAGCUUGCUCCUCUGACGUUAGCGGCGGACGGGUGAGUAACACGUGGAUAACCUACCUAUAAGACUGGGAUAACUUCGGGAAACCGGAGCUAAUACCGGAUAAUAUAUUGAACCGCAUGGUUCAAUAGUGAAAGACGGUUUUACUGUCACUUAUAGAUGGAUCCGCGCCGCAUUAGCUAGUUGGUAAGGUAACGGCUUACCAAGGCGACGAUGCGUAGCCGACCUGAGAGGGUGAUCGGCCACACUGGAACUGAGACACGGUCCAGACUCCUACGGGAGGCAGCAGUAGGGAAUCUUCCGCAAUGGGCGAAAGCUUGACGGAGCAACGCCGCGUGAGUGAUGAAGGUCUUCGGAUCGUAAAACUCUGUUAUUAGGGAAGAACAAAUGUGUAAGUAACUAUGCACGUCUUGACGGUACCUAAUCAGAAAGCCACGGCUAACUACGUG
rnacentral:rRNA from 1 species